rnacentral:misc_RNA from 1 species
GAAAUGCGAUACGUAGUGUGAAUUGCAGAAAUACGUGAACCAUCGAAUCUUUGAACGCAUAUUGCGCUCGAGGCUUCGGCCAAGAGCAUGUCUGCCUCAGCGUCGCUUUACCCCCUCACCCAAUCUCUCUCUGAGUGAUUGUGCGUGGACCUGGCUUUCGCAAUGCCUUUAGUGGCGUUGCGUUUGCUGAAGCGCAGAGGUUGAUGCAUGGACCCGCUUACGGGCCUCAGCUGGGUAGGCAAUUCGUUGCUAAUGCUUUAGCUGUUGGCUUGGGACCGUGCUGUCAGUCCGAACCAGGAAAUUUACUUUCAAUUUCGACCUGAGCUCAGGCAAGAACACCCGCUGAACUUAA